ACCAGUUUUCAUAGGCUUGUCCUGGAUGAAGAGGGAUGAUUGGGAGAUGACCAGGAGACUGGCUGAGCUGUUGGGGUACUCUGAGGAAUGAAAGCUGAAUAAAAUUAAAAGACCUAUUAACCCCAGCUUGUAGCACAGGCAACUUUUGCAUGAAGGAGAACACCAAGUAAAUGAAACAUCGUUGGAAAACCAAAGUACCGUGAUCCACCUGCUGAGACCAGGCAGCUUGGAGGAAGAAGCUGCCUGAUUCACAUAUACCAGCUGAAUGAACUCUUUCUCUAGGAGGCUUCUACCAGUCUUCACAACAUAUCCCCUAAUCUCGUCU